UAUGGCCAUAUCACGUUAAAACACUGGUUCCCAUAUGGUCAUUGAAGUUAAACAACAUCAAGCCUGGUCAGUACCUAGAUGGAUGGCUGCUUGGGAAUACCAUUUGCUGUAUG